ACCAUGAGAGUUGGGAAUACCCGAAGCCUGUGAGCUAACUUUAGAGGCAGCAGUCGAAGGUAGAAUCAAUGAUUGGGUGAAGUCGUAACAAGGUAGC
rnacentral:rRNA from 1 species